GGAAGUGUGGCCGAGUGGUCGAAGGCAACACCUUGCUAAGGUGUCGUACCGUUUACGGUACCGGAGGUUCGAAUCCUCUCACUUCCGCCA
rnacentral:tRNA from 1 species